CAAGUCGAGGGGCAUCAGUUUGGUUUGCUUGCAAACCAAAGCUGGCGACCGGCGCACGGGUGAGUAACACGUAUCCAACCUGCCUCAUACUCGGGGAUAGCCUUUCGAAAGAAAGAUUAAUAUCCGAUAGCAUAUAUUUCCCGCAUGGGUUUUAUAUUAAAGAAAUUCGGUAUGAGAUGGGGAUGCGUUCCAUUAGUUUGUUGGCGGGGUAACGGCCCACCAAGACUACGAUGGAUAGGGGUUCUGAGAGGAAGGUCCCCACAUUGGAACUGAGACACGGUCCAAACUCC
rnacentral:rRNA from 1 species